AAGUCGUAACAAGGUUUCCGUAGGUGAACCUGCGGAAGGAUCAUUAACACGUACGAAAGUACACACCAACACUGUGAACCAUUUAACGAGAUUCUGUACACCCUCUCCCUUUGAUCGUGGGCUAAUAUGAUGAGAUGUUAAUGGGCCCGUGUAAUGCGGGACUUGUCAUAUUGGGCUCGUGUCUUUACGCGAACCCCGAUCAUUGGUCUCCUUUUUACCAUUGGCACCAACCUAUCUCACCUUUAAACACAUUCGUCUGAUGUGGUUGCAGGAGAAAUCCUCGCAGCUUUAUUAUCUAAACUAAGCACAACUCUUAGCAAUGGAUAUCUAGGUUCUC
rnacentral:misc_RNA from 1 species